AUGCUCACUUUGAUAGCACAUCCACUAAAACUGGAACGACAUGGAGAUUAGCAUGUUCUCUGCACAAGGAUGACAUGCAAAUUUGUGAACGCGGUUCAUUUUUU
rnacentral:snRNA from 1 species